AUUGAACGCUGGCGGCAGGCCUAACACAUGCAAGUCGAACGAGUGGCGGACGGGUGAGUAAUGUCUGGGAAACUGCCUGAUGGAGGGGGAUAACUACUGGAAACGGUAGCUAAUACCGCAUACCAUCGGAUGUGCCCAGAUGGGAUUAGCUAGUAGGUGGGGUAACGUCUCACCUAGGCGACGAUCCCUAGCUGGUCUGAGAGGAUGACCAGCACAACUGGAACUGAGACCCGGUCCAGACUCCUACGGGAGUCAGCGGUGGGGAAUAUUGCAAAAUGGGCGCAAGCCUGAUGCAGCCAUGCCGCUUGUAUGAAGAAGGCCUUCGGGUUGUAAAGUACUUUCAGCGGGGAGGCGUUACCCGCAGAAGAAGCACCGGCUAACUCCGUGCCAGCAGCCGCGGUAAUUC
rnacentral:rRNA from 1 species